CUAGGGUAGCUGGGUCAUCUCCAAAUGGUAACUGAGUGUUUGCUCCAGCAGGAUUGAAGGAGUCACUGGGGAUGAAGAUCACUGCUCAGGGGCUGACGACCACUCAUCUUUCCGGAGAAGGUACAUAAAUCUACAGCUGAUGUGAUUAAAGUUCUGCAGUUCAGAUCCGCUGAUAAAUGGUCCCAUACCGUAUCCACAGCGUCCUCAUGCUGCAGGCGGUCAAACCUCCACCUCUUUGAAGAGACCAAGCAGCUUGAUGACUGACUGGUUCUUUAUACUCAAGACCUCGUCCAGGAGUAGAGGACGGACCUAAGGCCCGCAGCGCAGCCGACUAGAGACUCCAUGUGGAACCGGUAAGAUACUGGAUUGACCAUCUUGAAGACAUUUUCAUUUAUUCAACAAGGUUAGUUUUGUUUGGCGGGUAUGUUGCUUUGAUACUAGGGGCUUCUUCUGUAACAAACUUUCUAGAGAAUAAGAUCUGACUUCAGCCAAUCAGCGGGAUGUCCUUGAACAAGAGCCAAUGGCUGAAGGUGCUCAAACGCAUUCUUUUGACUCGCUCCUCUACUAUUGCUGUAAUCAAGCUGGAUGGCUAUUUUGCUCAUUCUACUGACAAAAUCAAGUCUGCCACCUGGUGGCUGAUGAGGGCGUAGCAACUCGGGGUACAUUGGAAACAUGAUAAGAAGAGCCUGUUUUUGAUGGUUGGAUCGUACACCUAAAUGUUUUUACAUCAAAAUAUCGCCGAACCCCAUGUUGGACAAUGCUUGUUUUCAUCCUUUCUAUGUUCAGCUUUGAUUUAUCCUCACCUUUUCUUGUGACCCAUUCCCCUUAGGUUCAAUUAAGUUGACCUCUCCUUCAGGUGACUUAAAGGGAGACCAGAUGUGCUGCAGCUGGGUGUCAUGGUGCAGAGACCCAACGCUGUACUGAACUACACCAGUGUGUCCUACUCCCAUAAACCCUGAGGAUCCCUGGAUGGCUACACCAGCACAUUAAUCCACACCCAACAUCAACACACAGUGCACACUCUAUAGAGCUCGUAAGUCCGCCCCUUGCGGCGGGACCUCGUGAGAUCGUAAGAUAUGACUGGGUUUCAAUGGAAAGAAAGUAAUUAUUUUCUCCAUUUUAUGUUGCACCACAUUUUGGGGGAGGAAUGUUUGAAUCAAUCUUUGUCAUUUAUUUCUGUACUCCAUAUCUGUAAUCCCAGCUGUUGUAUUUUAACACGGUAGCUGGGAACCCUCUUUAUAGGGAGCGACUAGAGGGACGAGGCUGGAAGCAAACCUGAGCCUGGAUCUUAACCUUCUUUCUAAACCUAAUGCCGCAAUUUAACCGCAAAUAAAGUGAGGCCUAAAGUAACUUGACUCUCUUACCUAAACUUGCUUGCCUAAACUCGCUUGUCUAAACUCACUUGCAUAAAACCUAAACUCGCUUGCAUAAAACCUGAACUUGCUUGGCUAAACUCGCGUCGCUUGCCUAAUACCUGAACUUGCUUGCCUAAACUCGCUUGCCUAAUACCAGAACUCGCUUGCCUAAACUCGCUUGCCUAAACUCGCUUGCCUGAACUCGCUUGCCUGAACUCGCUUGCCUGAACUCGCUUGCCUGAACUCGCUUGCCUAAACUCGCUUGCCUAAACUCGCUUGCCUGUACUCGCUUGCAUAAAACCUAAACUUGCUUAGCUUGACUCGCUUGCCUGUACUCGCUUGGCUAAUACCUGAAGUCGCUUGCCUUAAAACCUAAACUUGCUUGUCCAAACACGUUACACAAAGUUAACCAUCCAUAAUCUUUAACCCAAACCAGACUUGUCCCUGGGUCGCUCCACUUUAAUUUAGAAGUUUCUUCUUUUACCUCAUCUGCGUUUUGAGUUUCAUUCUUUGAGGGCUUGAAGUGCUUUGGAGGAUAUUUGAACCUUUGUUUGCCGCAUCAAUAAACAUGCUUUAUCUUUA